rnacentral:lncRNA from 1 species
UCCCCACUAUCUCCACCCCCCUUUCUUUCCUUCUUCCCUUAUCUUCCCCAAACCCUUACUAAAUAUCCUUCACAAGACUCAGAGAAUCUUAACAGAGGGAGCAAAAUGGCUGCUGCUGAGCUCUCCAUCAUAAAACCCAUCAAUCCUACCACCAAAUUCGGCAGACCCACCUCCAAAUUUAACACCUUGAGGCCGCACUCUCCCUCCCACUUCAGAGUCUUUGCCACCUCUCAGCCCACCACCACCACCACCUCCUCCAGUGCUACAAAGCCAAGGCCAAAGAAAUCUGUGAAGACUGCAAUUAAGGAGACACUCCUCACCCCGAGAUUUUACACCACAGACUUUGAUGAG